rnacentral:rRNA from 1 species
AGGUUAAGCUACAAAGGGCGCAUGGCGAAUGCCUUGGCACUAGGAGCCGAAGAAGGACGCGUUAAGCUGCGAUAAGCUUUGGGUAGGCGCAAAUAGCCAGUGAUCCAAAGAUUUCCGAAUGGGGGAACCCACAUAGUAACAACUAUGUACUGCAUACUGAAUAAAUAGGUAUGCAGGGGUACACCCGGGGAACUGAAACAUCUAAGUACCCGGAGGAAGAGAAAGAAACAUCGAUUUCCUAAGUAGCGGCGAGCGAAAGGGAAAGAGCCCAAACCCAGAUCUUUGAUCUGGGGGUUGAGGAUAGAUCACAAAUAUCGUAAUUCCUUAAUUGAAGAUAGCUGGAAAGCUGCUCCGCAGAAGGUAAUAGGCCUGUAAAUGAAAAGGAAAAAAAGUCAGAUCUAAUCCAGAGUACCACGAGACACGUGAAACCUUGUGGGAAACAGGGAGGACCACCUCCCAAGGCUAAAUACUACCUAGUGACCGAUAGUGAAGAAGUACCGUGAGGGAAAGGUGAAAAGAACCCCGGAAGGGGAGUGAAAUAGAACCUGAAACCGUGUGCCUACAACCGGUCGAAGCACUUUAUAUGUGUGACGGCGUGCUUUUUGUAGAACGAGCCAACGAGUUACGAUAUGUAGCAAGGUUAAGUACUUAAGGUACGGAGCCGAAGGGAAACCAAGUCUGAAUAGGGCGUAUAGUUGCAUGUCGUAGACCCGAAACCGGGUGACCUAUCCAUGGCCAGGAUGAAGCGGAAGUAAAAUUCCGUGGAGGUCCGAACCACGUUGGUGUUGAAAAACCAUGGGAUGAGCUGUGGAUAGCGGAGAAAUUCCAAUCGAACUCGGAGAUAGCUGGUUCUCCUCGAAAUAGCUUUAGGGCUAGCGUCGAUUAAUUGAGUAAUGGAGGUAGAGCACUGAAUGGGCUAGGGGCUGACAACAGUUACUGAACCCUAUCAAACUCCGAAUGCCAUAUACUUUUAUUUCGGCAGUCAGACUGCGAAUGAUAAGAUCCGUAGUCAAAAGGGAAACAGCCCAGACCAUCAGCUAAGGUCCCAAAGUGUAAGUUAAGUGGAAAAGGAUGUGGGAUUUCUAAGACAACUAGGAUGUUGGCUCAGAAGCAGCCACUCAUUCAAAGAGUGCGUAAUAGCUCACUAGUCAAGAGAUCCUGCGCCGAAGAUGUCCGGGGCUAAAACUUACCACCGAAGCUAUGGGUUUACACAAUUGUGUAAGCGGUAGAGGAGCUUUCUGUACUGGCUGAAGUCAUACCGUAAGGAGUGGUGGACGGUACAGAAGUGAGAAUGUUGGCAUGAGUAGCGAGAGUUAAGUGAGAAUCUUAACGGUCGAAAACCUAAGGUUUCCUGAGGAAGGCUCGUCCUCUCAGGGUUAGUCGGGACCUAAGCCGAGGCCGAAAGGCGUAGGUGAUGGACAAUCGGUUGAUAUUCCGAUACCACCAAUGGACGUUAUUAGAAAUGGGAUGACGCAGGAGGAUAAGAUGUGCACACUAUUGGAUGUGUGUCUAAGCAUUUAGGCGGAGCAAGCAGGCAAAUCCGUUUGCUCUUAACGCUGAGAUGUUAUGGGGAAGGGAAUUUAUUCCCGAAGUAUCUGAUUCCACGCUGCCAAGAAAAGUCUCUAUCGAGGAUAUUGGUGCCCGUACCGCAAACCGACACAGGUAGGUGAGGAGAGAAUCCUAAGACCAUCGGAAGAAUUGCUGUUAAGGAACUCGGCAAAUUGACCCCGUAACUUCGGGAGAAGGGGUGCCUACGAAAGUAGGUCGCAGAGAAUAGGCCCAAGCAACUGUUUAGCAAAAACACAGGUCUCUGCUAAAGCGAAAGCUGAUGUAUAGGGGCUGACGCCUGCCCGGUGCUGGAAGGUUAAGGGGAUUACUUAGCGCAAGCGAAGGUAUGAACUUAAGCCCCAGUAAACGGCGGCCGUAACUAUAACGGUCCUAAGGUAGC